rnacentral:miRNA from 1 species
UUGCCAACCCCGCCCAUUC